GUUCCGUGCGCCUCUGCCCCACCCGUCGUCGCGCGGGACCCGAGUUCUAGUUUUGACGCCUGUACUUACAGCGCCCUCGCGAGUGUCCACUCCCCGCGGGCUGUGUUGUGAGCCCUGCGGACGUCGCGCCCGAGUACUUACAGCGGAGACUGGCCCAGGACUAGUUUAGACAGAGUGGUCAGGGGGGUCAAGGGGACGCUGAGCAAAGGCUGCGGGAAGAGCCUGGGGAGCAGUCUCCGGACCCGGGGCACAGCCGCGCUAAGGCCGCGGCGGAGGCCAGUGAGGAGGCAUUGUGAGCGUCCAGCCAUCGCAGGUCAGAGAUGGAAACUCACAGGUGAGUUCGAAGAUGGAGACGGCCUGCCGGCGAUGUUUACAAAGGAUGAAAAUGGUCACCAGGCAGAAGAACAUAGUCACCAGAGAAGACACAAAAUACAGACUGGUCUGUGAUUGAACACAUACAUAGAUUCCUGAAACUACUACCACAGUCAGGACCCGACCAGUCCCACCGCACGCGGAAAACUCCCUCGUCCUGCCAAUGGGUAGUCACAGCUUUCCUCCACCCAGAACUCCUGCCUGGCAUCCGCUGAUCUGCUCUCGGUGGCUAUCAUUUUGUCUUCUCAAGACUGUCAUAUAAAUGGGAUUUCACAGUAUGUACCUUUUGAGAUGAACUGUUUUCACAGCAUGGUGCCUUUUGGACCCACCCAAGCUGUGUGUGAAUCAAGAGUUCCUUCCACUCUAUUGCUGAGUAGUGUCCCAUGGUAUGCAGGAUAAGUGAGUUUACCCUAUCACAGGGAAAUGUAGCUUGUGUCCAGUUUGGGGCUCUUACAAACAAAGCUGUUGUGAAUAUUUGUGUACAGGUUUUUGUAGGAACAUGAGUUUUUGUUUCAGUCAAGUAAAUACCCAGUCCCAGGAAUGGGAUCGCUGGAUCAUAUGUCAUGUAUACACUUAACUUUAUAGGAAACAACUAAACCAUUUCUCCACUUUGCAUUCGUA